ensembl:lncRNA
CAAGAAUAUUUCCUUGCCUCCAGUGUUUGUUUCUUCCUUCAAGUAAAAGGGCUAAAAUAUCCAACCUUGGUUCUGGCAUCAACCAGAAUGUCUGAGCAGACCUAGCAUGACAAGCAGUCAACCAGGUUCUUUGCAGAAGCAGUUGCCCAAAGAACUUCUGUUUGUUUGGGCGCUUCCUUGCUAGCUGGCCUAAUCCCUGCUCUUUGAUGACACGGUCUCAUCUGGCAUCACUGUGCAGUAGCACAGUAGCACUACAUACUACUGAGGUCCGUGGAGAGGACAGCCUGGAUUCAUGAACAUCUUAAUUGCAAAGAUAUUUGCAUUCGUAUUUCUGCUCCUCAGUUUGGAAAGCACCACAGAUCCAUAACCAGGUUUUAUCAGAAGCAGACAGCUAUAUAGAGGGCUUUUUGUUUUCAGAUGGGAAACGAAAUUGAUUUUGCUUACUGCACUGUUUCUAAAAGGAAGAGAUCCAAGCAUAUACUACAAAAAAGGCUUGCUCAACAGCGGUGCUCCAGAAUAGGUUCUUUCCAGGCUGUUCUUGCAGAGUGUGCACACUGAACCAAGGAAACACAUCAAUACCUUCCACGAGCAUCUUGACUUCUUAAAGAUACAGACCAAGGCCAUCCACCUUGGAUAUUCACUGUCAGAUUUGCCUCAGCCUUCAAAGACCUCUUGUCACUUAGUACAAAGAAUAUGUUGUUGACUUUACGGGUGAGUGCUGUGUUCCUCUGAAGAAUCCCUUUGUCAGCAUGAAAAAUGCAGCGUGGAGACCACAACAGACAGAAGAGAAAAGGAAGAUAAAGAAAAGCAGAAGAGAAAGCAGGAAGAAGACCGAAGCAACAGCAGAAUAUUGAAGAGGAAGGAUCUGGAAAACAGAGCAGCCCAGGAAAGCAUUGUGACAGGCAUUUAUCUUCAUGAAGGGUCUGAGAAAGGGGAGAUGCAAACUUUCUGAGGACAACGUCAUGAAGAGUGUCCCACACACAAAUGAAAACAACUCCUUGUGCUAGGAGACACUCCCUCAAAGAACGCAAUGAGGCAAGCCUUAAUGGUCAAGCAGAUAAUAGAAGUGGUAUUACAUGCUACAGAACACAAGUAUAAAACAGGUGAAGUUAUGUGAGACUUUAGAAAGGAUCUGAAUUCUGUGGAGGCAGUUACAGAAGGGUGACAAAGAGUCCUCAUCAAGGACUGCUGUGGCCAUUGGGAAGAACAAGAUUAGAGCAAUCUACAGUAAAUUGCCUGAAGAAGGACGGAGGACAGGGUCAGAAAGAAAAUGAACUGCCACACAGAUAACACAGGAGAAGAAUUAAAAACACUGUUCUUUGUAGGCUGCACAAUUGAGCAAGAAAUUACAUGUGUUGGUUAGAAGUCUGACAAGCUGGGCUGAGAACAAGAAGAAAAAAAGAGUGAAAUUCAUGUCCAGGGAAGAAGAUAAGCUGUCUAACAUUUUAUGCUCAAAUUUACUGAGACCAUAAAGCCAGAAAGUUUACUCAUUCAGAAAGGCUCAGAGGGAUGGGCUAAUAGGAAAUGGGUAGAGAGAUAAAUGCUAAGAAAUGAGAGACGGGUUUAAUUGUGACACAGUAAUGAUGACAGUAGGGGUCACCUAAAAUAGGACUGUAGAGGUAAAGAGAAAGGAUCACUAAAGACGCAAAAUAGACUGCAGAGUAUAGCAGAAGUGUUCUUCCCUGUGUUCUGCAGCCCCAGCCACUGCACAAACACCAGUGCAUCCUGACAGUGAAUCAGGCACCACACACAAUACAACCACACUGGAAGUCACUCUAGAAGACCACCAUAGUACCAGUCCUGCCUGCAGCCAAAGUGUUCUUUCAAGGAAAGCACCUUCAGUGCCAACAAAUGCAUACAGCCAAAGGAAAAAGAGAAAUGUUUGUUAAAAAGCAAGAAACUGGAAUGUCUGGAGAUGACCCAAGAGGUCUAUAUCAAUAUGAUAUAAAGGAGGAAAAUACAUAUCAUUCAAAGAAGCCAGAAAAGCAGGAGGAGAAGAGUUGCCUAGAAAAGGCAUUUAGGAUUUUGGUUUAAAAUGGAGUGAUAUCUCUCAGGCUUUGUUGAUACCAACAUCAGAAAGUAGCAACUGAGUCUCCUUCCAAGUGGAUUAACCAAACUGAUAUCUCAUUUUCUUACUGUAUUUAUAAAGGAAAAAAAAAAGAAAAAGGAAAAAAAACAACAAAAACCCACAAGGUUUCAGACUUCUACGUCCUCCCUGACCUGAGGAAAAAGAGCCUAUUCAGUUGUUUUCAACAAGAUCUUCUAUUUUGUUAACCACAUCUACUGUGGCACAAGUUUUUCAGCAUGAAAUGCCUCUGGCUAACAAUAGCAAGUGUAUUUAGGAGUGGGGACAGUAUCAAAGGCUUAAGGAGGACAAAAAAUCAAACAUAUUAAGAAGAAAUUUCCCACCGAAAAAAUGGAGAAAAAUGAAGUAAUUGACAUAUCUUAAAACAAGCGUCAGCCGGACAUCAUCCUGGUCAGUUAGAUAUCUUGGAAAGAUAGAUGACAUCAGGCACUCUUUCAUUGCAGUUCAUUACGUAUGUAAGUUAGGGCUCUGUUUUUUGUCUUCUCCCAGGUCAAAGAAAAAAAAAGACAACAGCCUUCAUCAGAAAGACUACUAAAUAACCACCGAGAGAUACGCAUGUGUAAAAGAACUGAGUCGUGGGGUGGGAGGGUGGGUAGGGGAACGUCAGUCAUUCUGGGGACUCAUUGUAAUAACCCAACCUUUUCUUGGACAUCUAACGCAUAUGUAAGCAGCUUGUUCUUUAAGUAUGUGCCUUUCUUGCCCUCUGCAAGGCUAGGUGGGAAUAGCCUCUUUGUGUCUGUUGUGUUCACAUCGCUGUUUAAACAAACCUGCUUUAUAACUACUCUGUGGUUAUAGAGCUUGAUUUCUGCACAGGAAAAUUAGUGUGCUAAGGUAGUUACAACCCCACAGUAACUGCCUGGCCCUACCCAAAUUAGGAUCAUUUUGUCCAGAGAACAUUUUUGCACAACAUGCCACAGCUAAAAACACCACACUGGAUGCGGAACAGUGUAAUAAUAGUCCAUACAUAAUUUUCAUGGGCAGAUCACCACCAUCCUAUUUCCUAUUUACUCUGGGAGGAGCCUGGUUAAUACAAACAAAUAGUGAAAUCCCACUGUUGCCCCGUGAACUCAAAACCCCUUUAACAGUCCUAAAACAAAUCUGUUCCUGGGUGAAGGAGGGAAUUCCAGGUACACCUGUAGGCUUGACAAAGAUCACAGAUCUGAAGUCUAACUGAAGGGUCACGUGCCCUGAAUUCUGUUGUCCAGAGUUAGAAGAGUUUAAUCCAUAAAACUGCCUACAGAAGUUUCUGCAAAUUACUGCAACAACCAUCUGUGCGGCAUAUCCCAUAUUCAUCAGCUUAGGUUUUUUUCUGCUCAGGACUUUCUGUGAGUGAACAAAUACUUGCUCACAUAACAGAUUCAAAUUCAAUCAUCGCUGCGUGACUCUGCCUACUCAUCCAAAUAACUCCAGGCUUUUUGGGCAGAUAUUCAACCGCUUAAUCUAAUAUGAGUGGUUUGUAUCAGUACCCAAAGCUAGAUUCAGUUUGGCACAAGCAAAUGUAGUAGCAUAAGCAGACUGGAUACAGAAAAGCUUUCUGUGCUACUCUAAAAUGUUCCUUAAAUUAGUAUCAAGCACACUCACUUCUUCUUUUCACUUCUUUUUUCUUUUUUACUUUUUUAUUUUUUUACUUAACAAUUGCCAUUUUCAAAGUUUGGAGUUUGGAGGGUUUUUUGCCUUCCUAUGGAAGCUUGAGGAUUCAUGUGGGUUUGUGAAAUUGCAUCUUUUGCCUCUUCCUUUUCUGGCCCACAUGUGGAUUGGUAAUGCAUUAUAGAAAUCCUUUACAAAAAUAUUUAUUUAGCAAGCAUUUUAUUCAAGAGAUUCAUAUGCAUUAAGGCCAAAUAGUCAAGGGAUUCUUUCAUUAAACAGUAAGCAAAAACCUGACAAAUCAUUUACAGUUAACAUAUUUAAAUUAAAUGCUUGAAUUACGUACUUGGAUAGGGCAACAGAAGACUAACAGCUAAGUAAAAUUCCCAGGCAACUUGGGAAUUUGUGUAAAAGUAGCAACAUAAGUUCUGCCUCAUUAGAUACAAGAAGUUUUCCCCUUGAUAACGUAUUCCAUACUUACCAUAAUCAAUAGAUUAAGUUAAUGCAGGGGCAUAGAAUUAUGUCAGGCAAUGCUGUGCAUUUCAAUAAUGUGCUUCCAUGCAUUAAGUAGCACCUACUGAAUAUAUUCUCAGGUGGGCCAGAAGAAGAGGCAAAGGUGAGAGGACCUAACCAAAACCAGAGCAGGGACUAAAAUUUUGCGUGAUGAAAUCCUCCACUUUUUCCUUCAUUCAGGAUGUAUUACUAACAAGGUAUUUUUUUUUUAUAGUUUUGUUUUCAGUACCAAUGCUUACUGCAUGUACCCAAUACAGCUGUAGAGGGCAGGUCAGGAGAGGAUGGGUCUAGACAACUCUUAACUUUUCUCACUAUGGAACUGAGUAGCCUGGAGGCAAUGGGGAAUGACAGAAAUGUUCUUCCUAAAGCUCUUUUAAGCUGAGAAAUUCCGCUCAUGUAACCUUUCAGAUGUGCACUAUAGUUAAUAGCACAGUGGCAAAAUGCAUUGGUUUGGAAACUUUAGAAACUUUGGAACUUUAGAAAGUUGUGACAUUGGCCUGUCUCAUGUUACACUACUGAGUGACCUCUGUUGAACUUAUACAUGGUAUUUUCAAACCCUGAAGCUCAGAUCUGAAAUUUGAAAGAUGCUUGUUAUACCUGCCUGCUUCUCAGGUAGAAACCUACUAUGACUGAGUCCAUAAAAUCUUCAUCUGAGGUACUGGAAGUUCUGCUUCAAAUGUUGCUGCUGAAUGGUUGAAACUUUGGGGAUAUAAAUGAUUCUCAGUAAUCACACCACUUCUUAAUUCCACUGUUCUCAGAGUCUUUUUAAUCAAACCACACAAUGCCUGAUCUUCACCAUUAUUAAAAUUUUGCAGGAUAUGAGAGGAAAAUACCUCUUCUGUGACAUAAAGUUUUUCAAUAGCAGGAAAAAAAAACUUACCAAAAAGAAUUUUCUUCAACUUAUUAUUCAAAUUUCUACCAGGACUUAUAUAGAAAGCAAUUAGUUUUAAUCUCCAUUCAAUUUUACAGAAUGCCUCCACAGGAGCUUUUAGCACAAAGCUAAGACUCUAGUAAGCACAGUGUGAAGAAGAUGAAACUUUGCUAAUAUUAUCCUCACAGAGAUAGCAGAACUGCAAUUUCCCGUGUGGUUUUGAUUAAAAAGCAUUAUGGUCACAAUGUUCAAAACUGUCCUAAAAUUGCUCCUCGGGUUUACAUCAGCCACAGCUACAUGAAAGCAAACUUCCUCACACAGUCACUUGAAACACAGAAAGCAAAAUCUAAUCCAAAGGGACAUAAUUACAAGGAAAAGGAAUAGAUACAGUCCUGGAAAACAAAAUGAAGAGAUUAAAAACUAUUUUAAUUAAUCUCUGGGAUUAAAAUAUUGCAUUAAAUGCUAAUACUUUUUAUCAGAGCUAUUCACAGAGCUGCAGUUUAUAAAUCUCC